GUGCUCACUUCGGCAGUACAUACACUGAAAUUGGAACAAUACAGAGAACAUUAGCAUGGCCCCAGUGCAAGAAUGACUAAUUCAUGAACCAUUCCAUAUUUUU